UUCCCCUACUAUGAGUAUCAUGGCAGCCACAGCAUUUUCUGUUUAAGAAAUGACACCAGAAAUACUACCAUCAACAGGGAACAUACAAGUAACAUGAACUCCUAGGUUUCAGCAAAUGCAGCUUGUCCACUAAUGCCAAUAAAAUUAUGUUGAUCUUUUCACUGUAUCAUUUUAUAUGCACACUUAGCCUUCCUGCUGAAGUAUUUGCCAUAUAACUGUGCUGAUCUUAAUAUACAGCAAGGCUGGAGAUUUAUUAGACACAUCCUGAUGCUGAUGGGAUUGCUGAGCUCAGCAGUUUGAAAAAAAAAAAGUAAUAUGAAGGCAGCCCUUUCCUCCACACAAAAUAUCUAAGUAUAUUUUCCUGUUGUGUAAAUAUCCUUGCAGAAGUAAUUUCCAUAGGCAAAUGAAGAGUAAAUGCUUUUAGAGUUGAGAAGCAUAGUCCAUCCCAGGGCAGAAAAGAUGUAAAAUAUGUAGUCAUAAAUAAAAUGCAGCAGACCAUGGCAUUAUCCUCUUCUAGGGUCCCGACUAUUCUCUCAUCUUCCUGUUUCUCCCCAGUUUACUUCAAACAGUGCAACUGAAUAUUGACAGAACUUGUUGUUUGUGACUGAACUAGUUAAGAAUAAAACACACAAACUAAACAUGCUCUAAUUAACUUUGAUUUGUUGAGGAUACAGUACCUGCACUUGUGACUAAGCAUGAAGCACAUCAGGGGACUUCUCCACUCAUGAAGACUAUUACUGUUGUGAAUUCUCUGCUUGACCAAACUUCGAGCCCACAGAUAUUUUACUCAUCUUCUGGUCAAAAGUGGAUAAAGUUACAACUCUGUAGAGUUUUCCCAUGAUGACCAAGAGAAUCUACUUGAUUGAUGGAUAUUUUAAAAAAUUAUUUAUUGUCCGCCGCCGCAGACUGACCUGGAACUAGGUGAGUGAGCUCCUGCCCGCUCCCGACCCCAGACCAGAACACCCCACCACCCCCAUCCCACCACCCCCUCCUGAGCCUGCCGGCUUGGGCCAGACACGCCCAGAGAGGGAGGAGCCCCCUGCCCCACCAAUCUGCUAGCACCCCAUUCUUACAUUCCGCCGCCGCAGACUGACCUGGAACUAGGUGAGUGAGCUCCUGCCCGCUCCCGACCCCAGACCAGAACACCCCACCACCCCCAUCCCACCACCCCCUCCUGAGCCUGCCGGCUUGGGCCAGACACGCCCAGAGAGGGAGGAGCCCCCUGCCCCACCAAUCUGCUAGCACCCCAUUCUUACAUUCCGCCGCCGCAGACUGACCUGGAACUAGGUGAGUGAGCUCCUGCCCGCUCCCGACUCCAGGCCAGAACACCCCACCACCCCCAUCCCACCACCCCCUCCUGAGCCUGCCGGCUUGGGCCAGACAAGCCCAGGCAGGGAGGAGCUCCCUGUGCCCCAAAUCUGGUAGCACCCCACUCUUCCAUUCCGCCGAACGACCAAGAAACUAGGAACUAGCGAGGAGACCACCAGGAGCGUCGAGAUCAUCUAGAGUUGUGGACAUCGAAUUCCUAGCCCCCACACACCACUGGGCCACAAGAGGAGAUAGAGAGAACCCA
rnacentral:lncRNA from 1 species